CAGUCGCCGCGGUAAUACGUAGGUGGCAAGCGUUGUCCGGAAUUAUUGGGCGUAAAGGGCUCGCAGGCGGUUUCUUAAGUCUGAUGUGAAAGCCCCCGGCUCAACCGGGGAGGGUCAUUGGAAACUGGGAAACUUGAGUGCAGAAGAGGAGAGUGGAAUUCCACGUGUAGCGGUGAAGUGCGUAGAGAUGUGGAGGAACACCAGUGGCGAAGGCGACUCUCUGGUCUGUAACUGACGCUGAGGAGCGAAAGCGUGGGGAGCGAACAGGAUUAGAUACCCCAGUAGUCCCUGUCUCUUAUAC
rnacentral:rRNA from 1 species